UCAAGGGCAGUGGGAAUCAGGGUCAGGUCCAUGGUGUUAACAGAAUACACCUCCUUGGUGACUUAGCUUGGAGUGUGGAAGAAUCAUCUCUGCUUGAAGCUACCCUCCUGACUUCCGGGAUUUUUUUUUAAUCUGCAAGGAGGCCUGGCAUCUUUUGUAAAGCUAAGCGGGUUUUGGUAACCUCAGUCCUGUACUCAUUAAUGCAUUUCUCCCUUGAGUUUAUGCAUCUUUAUGUUGUCUUUUCUUUCCAGAUUUUGACAGUGAAGAACUGGAGAAGGAAUUGGACAUCCUCCUUCAGGAUACCACCAAAGAACCUUUGGAUCUGCCUGACAACCCCCGCAAUAGGCAUUUUACCAACAGCGUGCCUAACCCUAGGAUCUCAGAUGCUGAACUUGAAGCUGAACUUGAGAAACUGUCCUUAUCAGAGGGAGGUUUGGUCCCAAGCAGUAAAUCUCCAAAAAGGCAAUUGGAACCGACUCUA
rnacentral:lncRNA from 1 species